UUGAUUCUUUAGAAAAAUCUUGUUUUUCUUCAUCUCUUUUUAUUCUCUUUGGUUUCUGAUCGAGGGAAAUUUGUACCAAACUUGACAUUAGUCCUUGUUCUUUUUAAAUAAUUCCUGAUUCACCUGUGAGUUGGCAAAUUCUGUUCAUCCUGCAUUUUCCCGGAAGCCAAACAGGAGACUUAAAUGUUUUUAAUUUCGACAAUUUUGUUCUCUUAGGGAAAUACUGAAAAAAUACAUGUCUUUCAGUUGAUCCCUUUAUUCUCUCCAAUUUCCCCUUAAUUUUUUUCUAACGUCUUUUUUCCUUUACUGGCUGUUAAUUUCUUUCUUAUUCUGUUCUGGCUUUAUCUCUGUCAUAUUCCGACUCGGAAUAAGCUAUUAUCCGGAUAUCCUGCCUUUUCUUAUUCCGGUUCUGAAUUUUUGGCUUCCGGUUUAUGGGUUUUAGUGGCCGGUUCAGCUAUUUUUUCUUGUCUGGACCGGCCAACCUGUCAUACUUAUUCCGGCCAGGGAUAUCCCGUUCAGGGAUAUCCCGGUUCGUUGUUAUCCCGUAUUGGUAUAUCCCGGCUUAGGUAUAUCCCAUUCUGGGAAUAUCCCGAUUCCCCACUUUUUUUUCCUCAAGUCUCUUUAUCUUCUUUGUCUUUAAUUUCUCAAAAAAAAAAAAAAAAAGCAAUUUAAAGAAGGUAUUAAUUACCAUAAAUGUUACCGUUGUCACAUGGGGAUUUAGAAAUUAAGUUUUCUCGCUUCCAUUCAUAGCUUCCUCAUUUCUUCACCUAUUCGAAAUUUGAAUCCUCAAAUCUAUCUCUUCUAUCCAUAGCACCCCAUUUAUUCGCCGACUCCCUCUCUCUCUCUCUCUCUCUCUGUCUUGAAUUUCUUCCUCUCAUUUUUUUUUCUAGUUUUGGGUCACGGAAUGCCAAAAAAAAAAAAACACAGUAAGACGCUACACUAGGUUUUCUCUGCCGUUUCUGGUUUUUGUGUAAACUGGGACUUGUGGUGUGGUUUUUUUUUUUGGUUUGCUCCGUAAUAAAUGGUUGAUACUUUCUUGAUUUUUGGGUUCUAUGCAUUUGGAAAAUAUCGAAGUGAUUGAAAAUGUAUAGAUAUAAUCUUAUAUUACUUGCAUUAUAAAACAUAUCUACUGCCGUAUAGCCUCCCUCAUUCUACAAGCCGCGGCACCUCCACCUCACCAUUCGACCUCCCUCUUUCAAAUUCACUAAGCCAUUUGCGGACACAGAUGAUGCUAUAUAUACAUACAACUUCCUAUUUGUGCUGUUAUGGUCCUUAAGUUCUUGGCGUCCUCAACUUGUUAUUGAGUUCUUGGGUGAAUUUUUCCUCAAAACCUUCCAGCAUUUCAUUUUUGACAUAAAUAUUAGAGCAAUAAACUUGGUAAUUGAAUUGUAUUGUAAUUAAAAAUUUAUAUCCAAAUAUUCGGUUCCCAGUA